UGAGACAGCCUCACUAGUCUUUCGGGGAGA
rnacentral:piRNA from 1 species